UGCUCUGCCCACGUGCUUCUCUUGGUUCGUGCCGUCCACCGUCCCUCGCAUCAGUAGAAGUGCUUUAACCUGCCGGGGUGGCCACGUGUCGGGGGAGCUGCAGCCCCCCGUUUGUUCCGCAGUGUCUCUCCGCCGGGGCCAGCAGUGCCGGGCGUGCCCGAGCCCGGCAGGACCCACUGCAGCUCUGCGGUGCGUGUCCGGGCCCCGGCCAUGCCGCGUCUCCGUGCUCGGCUGGCUGGUCCUGCCGUGGCCCGAGGAACCGGAGCCAGGGAGCAAUGGCAAAACGUGGAGCUUGGCUCCUUGGGCGUCCUGGUCUUGAGUGCGUAAACACCGAGGUUUGUAAAGGUACGCGGACUGGAAGAAAACCGUGUUUGCAGCCACGCCAUGUGAAGCGGAGUGCUUCCUGCUAUUCAAGUGCCUUCAAAUGUAACUUGAAUACACAUAUAUAUAUUCCUUCCUGGUAUUGUGUGUCUAACUGUGGGAUCCCUUUGUACUCAGCUCUAGGGAGAUGGACAGUCCUUGGCCAAAUCAGCUUACUACCUUUGUCCUUCCUAUUCAAGUGUUUUUCAGCCUCAGAAAACACAUUUAGCUUAAAGUACUGGUGUUUUUCUGAGUGGUGCCUUUUGAUAUUCUUGACUGGUAUUAUCUUUUAAAUGCAGCUGUUUGUCAAGGGAAGAAAGGCCAAUGUACCUGCAGUGUCACCAGCACCUUGUGUCACUGCUCUUAGGGACGCAGUGGGUCCUGCACCACACCGACCCCGUGAGAUGUUGCCUCCCCCUACUGGGACCCAGAGCUGGGUUUCGAGGGGUGCUUUGUUGGAGCUGCUCAGCCAGACCGUGUGAACGAGUGGUGUGGAUGAUAAGACCCUACACUGCGGUAAUCACAAAGCAACACUAGCCAAUGUCUUCCAUCAUAAGUCUGCCUUUGUUUUCUGCUUGAAGGCUUGGUCUUUUGACAAGUGCAAGUAACGUCUUGUUCUUUAUUUUUAGUGGGCCGUAAUAAACCUGAGUAGAUAGAAAGUCACCUGAGCCAUAAACAUUUGAAUGUCUCCAGUGUCUGCCCAUUUCAUGAAAUACCAGCACCUCUCAGAAACCUUCGUAACCCUGCAGAUUCUGUAGAGAAAAGCGGGGAGGUUAGAGCGUUAGAUCAGGGCUUUGUCCCAUGCUGGCUCAACCAUUCAUUAUCAGGAACCGACAGCAACAAUUAGUGAGCCCUGAACGCCCAGCACAAUGAAGAUCACACUGAUUCGGAGUUUAAAUGAGAGUCAGGAUACCGUGCGGUGCUCUUUGCGAGCUGGCCUUGCAGUUAACACUCACCACCUUUUCCCAGCUUUGAAAGGAGAAGUAGUUGAGUCCCAGCAAUUAGUCUGCUGUCUUCGGUGCCCGGGAGUUGGGUUAUUGUCUGGCAGCACUGUCGGGUUGGCCAAUUAGGUUUUCUGUGGCAAAAGCUGCCCCCUCCCUCCAGUUCUCAGUGCAUCACAAACAACAAACACGGCAAACCGUCAGAGGUGAAUCCAACGAGUCGGGUAUCGCGAGGGAAGGACAAGGGCGACGUGACAGAGAGAUGUAGGAAGACGAAAGAUAGAGAAAGGGUGAACCGGCGGUGCUAAGUUCAUUUCUCUUGUAACAGCGGAACAAUCGCAGCAGGUGUUCAGCAAUGCUCAAAGUGAGUUUCAAGAUGUAAAGAGCUGUUUGCACAGUUGCCUGGUGGCAUGCGAAGAGAGAGAAACGUAUUUAUGUACGGAAAUAAUAUCAGUCCCGUUAGUGAUGGUUAACAGAAUGAAAUAGAGGAGUACAGAAAAAGCAUUCGUUUCUCAGUUAUCCACAAAACAAUUUUCCUGUGUGCUCACAAAGGAUGUGCAAGUAGUCAGCAUCGGUGACAGGAUGCUGAAUUGGGUGGACAACUGGUUUAUGUCCCCAGCCCCCAUUUUUUAUGUGGUGAGCAGAGCAGAUGUAGAUGGGCAUUUUUGGUUUGGCAUCCUCAGCCGUCUCGUACGACGUUUAAUCACUGUUUUCCUGCUAAUGUUUCAAGCCCAGACGUUUGAGCCCAGAGCUCAGCUCCAGACAGCUCGGGGCGUUUGGGGAUGCAUGCUGCCGGGGAGGUGUUUGGGGCACUUGAGGCCGUGAAGUUCUGGGGCCAGUUCUCUUCACCAAAUGGGUGGAAAUAAAACCCCCCAGCUCUUUGUACAGCUUGGACAUAAGCUUAGAUUUUUGCCAGCUCAAAUCACAGCCUAAAUUAAGCACAUGUGCCUAAUUCUCAUUUAGAAAGUAAUGGAAGUAACAAAACAGCUCGUGGAUUAGAGAAGCGUAAUGAUAUCCUUGUCUGGAGUUACUGGGAUGAAACACCGUGGAGCUCUGGACCCAGCCGGCGUCGUGGGGUAUGAGCUGCUCACAGAGAACCAGCCUUGAAACGUUAGGUCCCAGGAGGAUUUAUUUUCUUCUUUCCAUUGUUAGAUCCCUGAGCCGUACAGAAUCCUGCAAAACACUUCAGUGUGUCCAAUGCAUGCGAGAGCUGUUACCUUUAAUUUAGAGUUUUGUUUGCUGUUGCCCUUCGGUUUAGUAAUACACAUCAAAUAAUGCUCAUAGUGACACCCGCAUAAAACUAGCGCUCUUCUGCUGCACUUGCUGGGUUUAUUUCAGAUUUUCCUCUUCUCCCUGUUCUGCAGCAGGCUCCGUCAAGUGGAAUGCAUCCGUCGGUUUUCCACCCUCUUUACUUUCCCGGCGCCGGUUUGCGCCUGGGCAGGGGCUGCGGCCGCUCCCUGCGGAGGAUCCCGGUCCCGCAGCGCCCGCUCUGCGGGCUGCCUGGGCUGUGGGUACCGCUGGGGGUUUGCCCCCCACCCUGCCCCCCGGGCUCGGAGGCGCUGCUGGCAGCGGAGCUGGGGAUCGGCUGUUGCUUGGUAACCGCAGCCACAUUUCAAAAAUGUACCCUUUUACAGCCAGCUUCCCAAACUAAUGGCUUUGAAAGGAACAGUUGUUCUUUCAGGAUCAUUUUCAUUUUGUUCUUUCUUGAAAAAAAAAAAGGGGAAAAAAAAAAAAAAGAGUCUUUCAGCUCCAGCUUUGCUUUUCUUCUCGGCUCCCUUUCCUCGCAUCUGGUCCCACAAAGGGGAGUAGUGUCACAUGCCCGGGAGCGAAGCCCUUUCAUCCUCCUCCCCUUGGGGUUUAGCCGUUAUCAUUUCUGAAUUUCAGCCUGAGCGGAAGGAAACUGCAGGCGCUUCCCAGAACGUCUGCAUUUGUCUUACCUCUGCUCUUUGCUGAGCCUAGUUUUCCUCUUGUCAGAGUGACAUAUUUCACCCUCCUGAGGGAGGGAGGUGGUGUGGUGGGUAGGACCGGUGCCACAGAAGCGUUCAGUGUCUGUUCUCAGCUCUCAUCACGGUUUGCUGGGUGUCCCUCUUGGACACUGAAACUGAACUGCUGCUGUUCAGCUAACGUCAGCCUAACGGACAGCCAUCGCAGCCCUGCGGGACGCAUCUCUGCAAGGCACUGCGUCGCUGGCUGAGGUCAGCAGAACUACCUGUAAACCUCCGCAGGUGUGAUCGGUUGGCUUGGCUUUAAUCUUCAUGUUCCUGCCCGUGUAGCACCUCUGUCGUGGAUGAUGCGACUGCUUUGAUCUCGUGGGAAGCUGAGCAGCCAUUGUACGUCACUCACAUCGCAGUUGUUCCCAAAGACACAGUACAGAACUGUUGUUAGUAAUUCAUUUCUAUCCGGUCUUAAGUUUUUGUAUGGCAUCAAUAUCAGGAUGUCUUCUACAUAAUUACUUUUACAAUGCUGGCCAUAAAUACCAGGGAGAUGAUCGCUCUAUCCUCAUCCCUUGAUUAGCAAAUUAGAAACUUUCCAAAUUGCACACACAAGGGCACGAAUUCUCACACCCAUUAAAUUGCUGGGGAUGGAGAAGUGGCUCUGCAAAAUAAUCAAAGUUCAUUGGUGUAAUGAAAUAUAAACCUUUAUCAUCAGAGCAGUGAGAAGGUCUGCUUGGUAUUUUCAUGCCAAGGCAGGUUUUUCAGGUUUUAAUGAUAGUUCUGCAAGCUGUAAUGUUCCUUGGCUGUCCAAAUGGCACUCUUCCUACCUCUGAAAACAUCAAACGCUGUUGCUGUUGUUUUGAAUUUCAGUCCAGCCUUUAGAACAGGGUGUCACAGAGCAGCAGAUGAGAAGGCCAGCCACAUUACCAGCAAAAGAAAGUAGCAGCGAGGUAUCUUUCUGUGCUGCUAGCAGAAUAACAUCUAAUUCUCUUGGCCAAAUUCAGAGAGAGACAGAGCAGGUUGUAAGCAUCCUGAUGACCUGCAAGUUGCUGCAGUAGUCUGUGAUGAAGGUGUUAGCCAUGCAAUCAUAUGGCGUAGGAUACCGAGGCAAUUUUGUCUUGGUCCGAGACUCUCAAACAGCAGGGAGUGAGCCCACGCAGGGAUGGGGACGGGUCAGGUUCUUCAUGCAAAUUCAGCGCUAGGUGACCGGUGGUCUGAGGCUGGUGGAAGAGCCCAGGGUGACUCCUGGUGUCAGGACUGUGCGCCUUGCCCGGAUGUACAAGUAGCGGCAGUUCCAGCGUCAGUGCUGUGCGUGAGAGGGCUCCUGAGCACGGAUGUGCAACCCCUGUCCAGCAGCACCCAGAUCCCCGACUGACUGGCAGCGACAGCGGUACGAAACGUUAGGUCAUCCCUUGUGCUUUAAACGACAGUACUACGUCUUGGGCUCGGAGGUCAGUCCCACCAAUCAUGCUAAAACCAUUUAGUGCGUCUGAAGAGCUGCAUCCAAUUUGUGCCAACUCCAUCUGCUUAAAAAUUGAAAUGACAGUGUUUUAACAACACUUGACGUGCGCUGUCGCUUCUUAUUUCACCACUGCUGUCCCAUCACCUAGGAGCACACACAGCUGCAAAAGCAGAAACGGCUAACAGUGCAGAGGACACGUUUCUGAGCCGUAUCCCAAAUUUGUACUGUCACAGCAAGCGCAACAAGCCGGGCACCAAGAUUACUUUGGUGCUGGAGCCAGGGAUGCCUCGCUUCAUGAGUUCAGCGCACUGCUGGAACCGGAGAUGAGGCUGACUUCAGGUGUCUCUGUGCCUUCGGAAUCCGAGCACCGAGGCAGGUCCUGAAGGACGUCCAUCACGGCCCAGGACUGUUUCAAGGGCCCGGAGCUCUGUCGGCUCUUUGGGGACCAUUUCAGGGAUGAGAUGUGAGAGAGCACGUCGUGCCCCAGCUGUGAGGCCCUGAUAACAAGUGAAUGUCGCAAACACCCGUCUUGACAUGGGCAGGGAUGGGCUGAUGAUGACCAGGGAGUGUUGAACAAGGAUGGAGCCUGCGGAGGCAGGAUAACGUCUUGUGAGACCACUCCUCUAGUCCUGAAACACCUCAACAAUGACCAUCUGUGCCCUGUGUGCCUGUGACAGAUCACCACUCGCUUGGUCAGCCCUGAAGGGGGGGGGGCAGUGAGACCCCCAGGACCCCCCCAACCCACCGACUCAUUUCUAGAACAUUUCUGCACAUUCCCGAGCACAUACUGCUCAGUGAUGACAGACACCCGCCUGUGGGGCGGGCACAUCGGGUUAUAAAAAGUGGAAACACAAGUUUUCGGCGCGCGCCCACCACCGGAAGACUACAACUACGAGCAGAGAACAUCGCUGGAUCCAAGGGUGGUGAUAUCUUCUCUCUCUCUCUCUUUUCUCUCUCUCUUUUCCUCUCUAUCGCUCUCUUUGUCUCUCACUUCAUUUUUGGCACAUUAGGGUAAUAUCGUCACGCGUUUUGCUAAACCCUUACCUUUCAUAGUUCUGCUAAAUUUUGAGCAUUGUUAUGACUUUUGCCAAGCCUCUAUCUUUUGUAGUUCCACUGAGUUUUAAGUAAAUUUAUGAUUGGUUUGAACCUCUGAAGUAAUUGUCGUUACUUCCGAUUACCGCGCAGAGAAUUAAAAAGUUAACCUCGCCCUCACCCCGAGCGGGACGGGACACCAGCUGUCCCGCAGGAUGGUGGUCUCCCUUUGGAAAUGCGGCGCUCAGCGCUCUGGUGUUUGCCUGCGUCGCGGCGGAUCAGGUCUCUGCAGCGUUAGUGGGCAGCAGUCUGUUCUCUGUUCGUUGCCUUUCCUUUGCCCUGUUCCCCUCGUAGGAGAUACUCUGCUAAUGUGUUUGCUUGUGAUCUGCCUGAAACCCUCAAAGAAGGUGAAGCGGGAUGAGGGAAAAGAGAUUGUCUAGAAUGAAUUGUAGGAGAAGAAACAUUUCCUUGGUAGUUUCCUUUUUUUUUUUUUGACUUUCACUGUGAUGAACAACAAAUCUAUAAAAAGUCUCUACGCAUCAAAAAGUGCCAAUGCAUAAAACAAGAAUGCUGUUCCACCACACAAUUAAAACAGGUCCCAUUGAAGUCCCCAAGCCCUUUCUGCACUGUCCCUCUGCGCUUCUCCGUCAGACCUGGCUGGGUACGAUUCCUGAGGCAGCGGUGGCCUUUGCUUAUGCCCCAAGCAGCACCACAUCUGUCCCCGAGAUUAUUAUUCUUGAUAAUAAUUAUAAUCAUUAUCAUCAUUUAUGGGCACUGCGAUAGCGGGGUACAGAAACUGCAAAGUUGUGAUGAUGAAUGUGGUGUGAAAACAGAGCUGGCGGAAAUCUCAUGGAGAGGAGUCAGCGCUAAUAAAUAUUGCAUUAAUAACAAAAAAGAUCUCUCGCAUCUCAAGCUGAAUGUACGCUCACCUCCUCUUCCAACAGCAAGUUCAGAACCAAGUGUUCGUUACCGGGUUUUGUUCUGCCUGUUUACUUUUAAUUUCUGAUUCUCUGUUCUGGAUGGUUGCAGCCAUCUGAACCUUUGGAUGCAUUAAUAUUUUAGCGAGACGGGCAACAGGAGGCUGUGAAACGUCAGUCAUCUUUGAAAAGCAAAAAGGAUUUGAAACUAGAUGGUGGGGAGGUGGUUGUCUUAAUUCAGCGUUAUAACAGCUGAGAUAACACUGACUCCCUCCUCUGUCUCCUCCCCCUCCCACACGUGCUCACACCGAAAGAAGAAUAACAGACAUUUGCAUUCCUCGCCAAGCUGGUGAUGUGCCCAAAAGGAUCUUUAUCCAGCCUGUAAAUAGUCAUGGUUCUCUCCCCUUCCCCAAAUUCUGGGUUGAUGACGAGUUUCCCUUUGCUUCUCAGAUGGAUGGGGCUCUACAAAACCAUAAGCAUGGAUGUAAUAAAUCAGAGGAAGAAGAAAAAAAGUGCACGCUCAUAUUUACGUAUCUCAAAGGACUUGCUCAAGACAAGCAAAAAUGAAGUCAAAUGGCACACUACUCAAAGCCGGCGUUUUCAGAAAACUGGAGUCAGACCUUCCAAGUCCACACUUAGUGUCCUUUUAGGAACUACCCAUUCAUCAGAGUAUUUCAUAUAAUCUGACAGGAAAUUAUAUUUACGACGCUUUUAGCUCCAUUUGGGACAUUUUUUUAAUACUACUUCUGGGAUGUAAAUUAUUUAAAAAUCAUCAAUUUAGUUCUUUACAUGAAGAGAUGAAAGCUUAACCAAAAAGCUUUCCUGUUCAUGACAGUCUUAAAUUCUGUGGGAGAUCUAUGUAUUUUUGCUUAAUUGAACACCUAAAGAAAAAAAGGAGCUUGGCCUCAUAACAUUUUUAGAAGUAAAUGUUAGAUUUAUUUAGCCCCAUUGACUUUUGAAAUACAACCACUAAUAGCAUCUGUUUAAAUAUUGUCCUCCAGAAUGGAUAAAACGUUUUAUCACCAGGCAUUAAAUUCACUAACGGAGCAUU